GAAAAGGGUACUUGUCGUCUUUGACACGUGGUAGCUCCCUCAUAAGAGGGGGCACUGCGCGGAAUCGCAAUCAAGAGAUUUCGAGUACAAAAUGUUUGGACUUGCGAGCUGUUGGUCUCUUUGACCGACGCUCCA
rnacentral:snRNA from 1 species